CCCCCAGAGACUCCAGAACAUUCACAGGUCUGCUGCAGCCAGAGCCCCUGUCCCCACGGCAGGCCACUGCUGACCUGUGCCUCUGCAGAGACACUCAAACACUCAAAGGCAGGUGUGGCUCAGGAUCUUGUGGAGGUCACUGCUCAUUUCCCUGGGUCCUGGUGCACACAAGGUGCUUUGUGCCCUCUGAGCGUCUCUGUUCAAGAGGCUAAGUGGUGCCAUUUCUCUUAAUUCUCAUCAGAUGUGUGCAUCAUGUUAUAGAUAGAAGACUAAAGUAUUCUCCUCUUUGGACCUAGAGCAAGGCCUUUUACAGGAUGGUAGACAUCUGCCAGGAGGGUCACGGCCUGAGAUCAGCUCCCCAGAAGAGACACAUGACACACCUGAGACAGUGCUCUCACGGAGCACCUGGGAAACCGAGCGGCCAGAACCAGGGAGGUGAUAAGAUGCAUGGUCCACCUGGGACGGUGCACUCGUCAAGCACCAGUGCGUUUGAGCUGCUCGGACAUGGAAAGGGCACAAAACACACGCCCAACCGAGUCUGUGCCCUUGCAGAGUACU
ensembl:lncRNA